rnacentral:snoRNA from 1 species
AAGACUGCUUUGAGGGGUCAUUUCUGUAGUUCAAUACUCGAGAAGUUUCUCUGAAGGUGUAGCAAGCAUGGAAACCACGAGGAGGAGGGAAGAGGGCGGUGUUCUCUCCAGAGCGGGAUGCUGCCGGGCUCUUGAUGUUGCUUUGCUGCAACUGCCAUUCAGCGUUUAUGAUUGUUUUUCCCUCCUUAGGGAGAGUGAGAGGGAAAGGAUACAGUGCUAGUGGC